GGGAGAAAUUUAUAUUGUUGUUUGCUAAUUUUGAAACUGUUGCGUAGCGUCAGCCAUGAGCCAGUUUUAUUUUUCUGAACGCGAAAACAAGCGAGACUCAACAUCAUUCGAUUUCCAACUAUUGUGAAGUAAUUUGCUUGGCCUUUUGUUCCGACCAAGAUGCUGCAGUUGAAGUAUUACCGUGACGAGGAUGGAUAUAAUUUCCGAUACAUGCCGGACAUUAGAUAUUAUUAUGACGACAAAAUUCAGCGUCCUCUGAGUUCGUUUUACGAUUACCCGUUCCGAACGAGGGUUUGGGUACCUUACGGUAACUUGAGGGUGUUCUGCGACUACAUGCCGUCCAAUCUUCCCUUUGAGAUUCAGAGGACCAGCAACCCGUUAUACUUUAAACAUUGGGCAACGAAGAGACGGUUGGUGGAAUAUUGAGUCAUCGAGGAUGUGACAAUUCCACACACAAUUGUUUUUACAUAAUUUUUUUGUUAUAAGCAUACGACUGUAUGAAGUUGAUAUGUAAAUAAAAGUUAGCCAGCCAAUUGGGUUUAGUUUAACCAAAUUU